rnacentral:lncRNA from 1 species
UCUAGUAUAUCCCAUCCAUAGUGAAUUUUCUAUCCAUUCAUCCAAAAAUAAUGGGGUACCUGCCAAUGAUGCUAUCUUCAUAAUUAAUUUUCUCUUUUGCCCAUAGUUCCAAUGAUAGAUCUGGCAUCCUAAGCUAGAUCCUGACUUAUGUAAUAGUGUCAUGCCCAAGCUGGAACUACGGCCCCCAACUUUCAAGGGCUAGUAAUUGCCCUGCUAAGGACUA